rnacentral:tRNA from 1 species
GCUCUUAUAGCUCAGUUGGUAGAGCGCGUCCUUGGUAAGGACGAGGUCAGCGGUUCAAAUCCGCUUAAGAGCU